rnacentral:lncRNA from 1 species
UUUUUUUCUUGUUUUUUAAACAGCAGUAAAUUAGGGUCAAGUCUCAAUUCCUAAACUAUCUUGAUCAAUAUCACUUCAUGCAUCUGCUUCCUGUUACUUGGAAGUUUGCCUGCAUCUGGAUGUGGUUGUUUACUUUUUGCUUUUUUCCUACUUCGGGCUUCAGUCAGAAUAUACUUAUACUUUCUCUGGGAUGGGAAAAAAUAAUCUCAGGAUUCAUUUUUCAAAGGGACACUGGAAUGUUACUUUUUACCUCUUAAUGAGAGGAAUCUAUCAAAUCAAACACUUUAGCGCUUUCUGAGUUAGUUAUGAAGGCUUCUACUCCCCAUUCAGAUGGAAGCUUCCACACUCAAGUCCCUACAGCAAACUACCCCAGCUGCAAAGAACACGGGAAGAGAAAGUAAUCCAUUAUCUUCUAGGCCCAUGGUUCUCAAACUUUGCUCAACCUCAGAGUCCUCUGGGAAGCUUUUAAAAAUCCCCAUGUGCCCAAGCCACACCCCAGACCAAUUAAGUCGAAACCUCUAGGCGCAGAACCAGGCAUCAUAGUUUUUUCAAACUCCCCAGGUGAUUCCAGUGCAAGUGUGAGAACCAAUGAGCUAGGCAGGGAUGCCCACUGAGCCUCACGUGGAUACCAUGAGGUCAGUUCUACCCAUGGCCCCGGGCCUCCUCUACUAACCCCACUCUUCCCACGUGCCAAGCAGCAGGAUAGACUUUCCAGAACCUGCCCUUCCAAAACAGCUGCUUUAGAGUUCCCAUUUUGGCUCAGCAGUAAUGAACCCAACUAGUAUCCAUAAGGAUGCAGUUCGAUCCCUGGCCUCGUUCAGGGGGUUAAGGAUCCAGUGCUACCAUGAGCUCUGGUGUAGGUCACAGGCGCGACUCAGAUCCCGAGUUGCUGUGGCUGUGGUGUAGGCCAGCAGCUAUGGCUCUGAUGUGACCCCCUAGCCUGGGAACUUCCAUAUGCUGUAGGUGCGGCCCUAAAAGGCAAACAUAUAAAUAUAUAAACCAGCUGCUUCAAUGGGAGCAUAUACAUAUACUUUGCAAUGCUCUUCCAAUUUAAUAAAGAAAUUCUUUCUCAUUCCCUUAAUGUUCCUUCCCAUUAGGACAUAACCUACAAACAGAUGAAUUAUACUUAAGCAGUAAGUAUAAAGGACAGCUGUUUCAUCUCAAUGGAGCAUUUUCUCUUUAUGAUUCCAUUAUUUUAUUCUGCCAUGACUUGCUUAAUGUUUUAAGUAAGGCACAGUUUUCUUUCCUCUUCUUCCUUCCUUCUGUCCUUCCGUCCUUCCUUCCCUCCCUCCUUUCUCUCUUUCUCAGCUGGAGGUAAAAUUUCAGCUGCAAAUCUACUUUAAAAGAUCUUCAAGAAACAGUCCAAGUAAGAACACGGCUGUAUUUAUUUUUUAGGAGCAGCUGAAGGCUGAUCAAAACGUUCCUCCCAAGCCACAAAAUGUGUAACCCUGGCAUUUUUCAGGGCUAUUUUUUGGCACACUGAACACAGGUCAAGACACGAGACAGCAUGUUAUUUUAAUUAUUCUUCUUGAACCUCCUGAAUCUUCAAGCAGCAAUUCUUAAAGACACUCAUUCAUGUUAGCAGAUAAUGCAGCCUUUUUGCACCCUGCAGUGACCUAGUACAGAGAAAAUAUAGUGAAUUCACUUUUUUUUUCUUUUUUUUAACCAAAGAGGUGCCAUUAACUUGUCCUUGGGUUGCAACGGCCUGUGUGUGAACUUCUGGAGUAUUUUCCAAACCGUCUUUUCAACAAGCAGAGCUUGCUGAGUUUGCCAAACCUACUUCCUUACCUUUGUCUAUUCUGUUCUUUGGCAACUCCUUUGGACAGGCUACCCCAUUCAAGGUCUUUCCCCUGCUCUAAUCCAUCUCAUUACGGCCUCUUCAAUUUACCUUUUACCUAUUUAUAAUAUGGAUCUUCAGAGGAACUCCCCAAAAGGAUGGAGUCAGAAACACGAUCGAUUUUCUGUUCACACUGGAAGGGAGAUUUAUAUACAUGCCCAUAGAAACAUACGUCCGUUGUGACUUCCAGUUAGUACAAAAGAAUUAAAGUCAUAUAUUCUACUCCACAAAUUUGGUUCCAUUUAAUAAUAAAAGACUACAUAUUAAAGACAAAGAUUAAACAGUUGCAGGAGUUCCCGUCGUGGUGCAGUGGUUAACGAAUGCGACUGGGAACCAUGAGAAUUGGUAUUUCUUCUCAGAUUCAAGGCAUGGCCAAGUCACAGAGGCUCACUUCCAGGGUCCAGUUUUCAUCUUGGAGGCUGUAACCCAGGCAGCCUCUCUGCCCUUUGAUCUGGUUGGAACUGGAGUGUAACAAAUAUGCUUGUAUUAAGCUAUCUCCAGUCUGCCUGAGGGCAUCGGUCUGGAAUGUGAGAAGGGGAGCUUCAAACAGUGAGGUUCCCAAAUCUUCAUUUGCAUUCCAUUUUUUCCUGGCAGGCUGGCUAAGGCUUCUUCUAUGGAAGGCAGUGAUGGGGGUGCCUGUGGACUUCAGCAACACUGAAUGGCCUCCAAAGGCAGGACUAGAGGGCUUUGUCCCUAUCCCCCGGGACCAGGAAUCAGCUGAAGAACAAGAGGAACUACACGCAAGCACCAGGACCCUACAUUAUACUUUUAUUAAGCCACCCACAGGCACCUAUGGAGCACCUAGGAGCUCUAAGCACUGCGCAAGAAAGACCAAAGAGGGCGCCACCGUCUUUGGCCAUCAAAGCAUCCACGUUCCACCAGCCACCUCUGGGGUGAUGAAUCGUUUCAAGGACGCCAUCCAUUCUAUUCCAGGUCUGUCUCCUCCUAGACUUGACAAUGCAAGCCUUCAUUUUCAAAAUCAGAAGGUAUAAAAAAUGUGUUUAGCUGGAAGAUACUCUGUGUGAAAGAAUGUGCAGCUGACAGCAAACAUUUCCAGCAGCACAGCCAAUAUUUUCCUAUUUCCUGGACAAUUUACUAAAAACCUUCCACCCCUGCUUUCAUAGGUUGAAGGCAUCUGCUGUGCCAAAUUGUCUGCUGGUGACAGAGAGAAACCAACACAUUCUUCAUUGCCCAGGGAUAAAAUUGAAAAGGGAGAGAGAAGUGUCCUUGACAAAUAGUAGACUCUAAACUACACCUGUGUUACCCUGUCCCUGAGAGACUUCAAGUGCUGGAUGAUCAGAGAUGGUGAGAAAGCAGCUCACUUAUUUUUCACCAGUUUACACCACGCCAGGCAUAAUCCCAACGUAUCAAGAACCCCCAGGUCCUUGGGUGAUUGCUUCACAAAAACAUGGAAAUGAUGCAACAGAAACAACUGAGUUUUUUUUGUUUGUUUGUUUGUUUUGUUUGUUUUUGUUUUUGUUUUUUGUUUUUUGACUCCUCCAGAUGGAAAAGGUAGUGCUUUAAAUAUCAUGUUCCCUGGACAUCCGUCAUCCAAAGCACAAUGCAACCACUGUAGGGCAGAGAGAGAGGAGAUAUUCUGCGGGCAAAGCACGCAAACCAGAGCCUCAACCCACUGAAGAAAUGGUCUUGUGCUUCUCCUUGGAACAGCGGUGGGGUGGGCCAUGCACGAGAAUGUUGCUGGCCGGCCUUGAAAGAAAGAAACCCUUUCGGAGACCAGCGACCUUAAACAUCGCAUCAGCCUUUGAAGUUAUGCACAAUGACAUCCUUUGGUUCCUGGCCCGGGGCAGAGGUUUAAGCUUUAAGACUCCAUUUACUUACCAAGAGUUGGAGAAAUAUUUUCACUGCGGCACAAGGUAAAAGAGCCAGGUUUUUCAAAAAGCAAGGGAUUGGAUGGUGAGGUCGGGGAAUAUACUCUUUACAGGGGGCCACCCCACAGUGUGAAGGGAAUCCAGAGCUAGAAAGGUACCUUUCUGGGGUUAAUCUUUCUUUUUAGCCUUCUGUACCAUUCAGAUCAGUUUUGUAAAACUCACAUCAAAGUCACAGAAGCAGAGGUGGUUCUGAGGCUCCCACCCUCCCUCUAACCCAUCCUUGGUCCAACCUGCCCAACCCAUGCUUGUCCUUCCUACCAGCAUCUUCACAUCUCUGAACCAGUCUCACCCCCACCCCCGAAAAAAGGGCACCCCCAGCUCCCUGCAGUGCUGCAUCUCCAGUAGGAAUCCAAGGAGUGAUAACAUCUCCCACAGCAGGGUGAGGGGGAGCUUCGUGCCCACUGCUGCCUCGAUACAACUCUCUAGAGCAUCCAAAUUAGCGUUUAUUCCUUGUGGUGGGUUCCACCUAUCUGGUUGACCACUCCAUCCUGGCACAUUGUGCACCCAGCCACCACAGUGUUGAGUACAUAGCAAGUACUCAACGCAUGCUUGUAGAACAAAGGCCCCAUUCCUCCAACCCCAACAUUUUCUCUUUCCAUUCUGCCAGAUAUCUACUAUCUUAGGGUACAGUCAUCGGGGCCUCAUCCAAUGCUCUUGGACAUCGAACCUUCUCUUGCCGGAGCUCUUUGGCUUUCAUCUCAUGCCAUGGCAGACGUCCUUUUGCAAGAUCCCAAAAAGCUGGGACUCCAGAGAUUCUGGGAACCUCAAAAUAGUCACCUAAGAAAAGGUAGCAAUGUUACAUGCCAUCGUGUUCAUGGUUUGAGAAGCUACGUCAAACUAAUUACUGAACUGGAGCCAAAGACUUGAAGGAAAACAGAAGGAAAUCUGUUGCCUUGAGAUGUAUCUUUCUUCUUCAAAGAACUCAGAGCUGCUCCCAUCGUACAUGAUGUUAGGAUAGGCCUUGGGCCAAUCAUUGUGAAGAGCAUCUGAAAAAUCACUCAGAAUUGUGUGCUCCGUUGUUUUGCAAAGGAUAUAACUAUUUGUUUGCUUAAGUGAGGCGGUAGGGAUUGCUGGAAAGGUUCUGUGAAGAUAUUAGCUAACCUCAAGUCCCCACCAGCAAACACAAGCAUGCCGUUCACACACGGGUCACAACCACCCACAUCAUCUCGGACUCACAGAUAUGAAUAAUGUAUAAACGAGCUGAACCCCAUUCCAACGAGCAAGAGACUUUAGCUCACAAUGGAAAUGUAAACACAACCUUUAGCUGAAGAUAGUCUUUGACUCCAAAGGGGUCACAUACACAAUACAAACAAGGUCUUUACUGGGGCCUGCACGGGUCUCCAGGGGGGCUGUGCUGAAGUUUCCUAAUGGAAGGGGUGGUAAGUCGCCGUGAAGGGGCUGAUUCGAACACCCCAUUUGCCACGUGUUCCCAAUGAGAACGCGACACGAGAAUCUCUUCAUCUGAAAAUCUUCAAGAGAUCCUGCCUGGUCCAUGAGGCUCCAUGUCCCCUUCAGAGCAAAGAGGCCACACGGCUCCCAUAUUUACACAAAGGGGACAGUUUGGUCAGGAAGAACUCUGUAAAGUAGUGCUUGCGGAUUAAUCGAGUUAAAAGAUAAGCCCAGUUAAAGGAGCCUCUUGCUUAAACAAUACGGCAGGUGGAAAAAUGAGUGAAAUAAAGACAGCGAAAUUCAGGAGGUACCAUCGCCAAAUACACAACUUGUCAUUUCUAAUAAAGCAAGAAGGUGGAACUUGAGUCACUGAGCAAAAUGCUCAAUACCCAGUUAGGAUCCACGGCCCCUGAAGAGCUACCUAAUUACCCCGGAGAUGAAGUCCCCGGGUGGCAGGUCCCCAGGGUCCCUUCUAGGCGCCUCCAUCAUUCAUCGGGAAGUCAGGGAAAAUGAGUUAUCUAGGUGAGGUUUGAUGCUCCCAACUUUUCAAGGGUUGCUCAGAUCUCAGAAAUAAAGACUGGCAGAUCAAGGGGGAAGCACAGACAUGACCGUUUGGUUCAUUAGAAUCGUGGAGCUAAAACCUCUUUUUGCAGUUGUAAGGAGCCAGCGUCAGUCAGUUUUCCAAACGGGAAAAGGAAAGUACCCUAGCCUUUACUGUAACAAACCAAGAGCCAUACGAAACUCAAGCAUGAUAAAAGGCAGAACGAAAAAAUAAAACUUGAGUAAUUCCUCUUAAGUGACUUUCUUUCAAUCCAUUUUACUUUAUUUUAGCAAGAAGAAAGUAUGAGAUUUGAGGCUCUGUCCAUAUGUUUGGUUGCUGUUCACUUUGAUUUUUUGUUUACGUUUGUCUCAAUUUUUUCUUUAAUGGUAACAGCUGCAUAUGGACAAAAUUCAAAAGGUUCAAAAGGAUAAAAGCAAAUAAUCUUAUCACCUGUCACCAGCCACCUAAUUCCUUCCACUCCUGGGCAGUAAACACGCGAACAAAAAACAGUAACUACUACCCAAAUACUACCCCCAAAAAUAGGGCUUGGGAGGAAAAAAACAAACGAAAUAAGGAAAACCCCCUAAAACAAGGAUCUAAAUCUGGUGUAUCCUUUCAGAUCUAAUCUAUGCAAACAUUAGCAUUUCUUUCCUUUGUGAAAACACAAAAGAAAUGUUUUUUUGUAAACUGUUCUGUACUUUGCAUUUUUUUCCCUUAACAUAUCUUCAAGGUCAUUCCCCAUCAGUAAAUACAGAGAUGUCUUAUUUGGUACAAGUGCAAGCACAUCUGCAGGAUAAACUUCAAGAAAUGGAAGAGCUUGCCCCAAAUAUAUGCAUUUUCUUUUUCAAUUAAUAUUACCAAGAUGUCUUUCCCAGAGACGGUAUCAAAUUAUACGCCCCUCAGCAAUGUCAGCCUCUGCCUCUCCCCACCUUGGCAAAUACACAGCAGUAUUAACAUUUGAACAUCACCAGGCUGACAGGUAAACACGAUCUCUUAAAGUGUUAGUUUCUCCUUCUCUUAUUAGCAGAGAGGGUAAGUAACAUUCUCAUAUAUUUAAGAGCCAUUUAGUUCCUUUUCUGUUAAUGACCUGUUCACAUUUUAGGUGAUUUUCCUACCACUUUCUCUUUCUUAAAAGGCAGUCUCUCUAGCAAAUGCUAUCCAAACUGGUCUUUUGUAUAGUUCUUUGCAGUUGUUUAAGCCCAUUCAUAUACAAUCUAAUGCAAUAACUGCAAUGAGCUGGGGAGCAGGCAUAAAAAUACGAUUCCCAUUUUACCGCCAAGGACACCGAGGGAUUCCCAUUUUACCGCCAAGGACACCGAGGUUUUGAUUCUUAGUAGGUUUGACCAAACAGCUCACAGAAGUUUGUAAACAGGACUAGCAUUUGCGUAGCUUAUCUUCCAGUCUAAUGAUCUGCUCGUGUCUGCUUACUAUGUUCAAAUGCCUCUUAGGAGUUCCCAUUACGGCUCAAUGGGUUAAGAACCUGACUGGUAUCCAUGAGGAGGCGACUUUAGUCCCUGGCCUCGCUCAGUGGGUUAAGGAUCUGGCAUUACCAGAAGCUAUGGCACAGACUGCAGAUGCAGUUCGGAUCUGGCAUUGCUGUGGCUGUGUAUAGGCCAGUCGCUGCAGCUCCAAUUCGACCCCUAGCCUCGGAACUUCCAUAUGCUGCAGGUGUGGCCCUAAAAAGAGGAAACUUGCAGACAUAAAAAUUUGCAAUGUGUAUGUAUUUACUGAUGGAACAACAAAGAUGGAUAUUAAAGACUUGCUUCGACUUCUCCAGACAACAUCCAUCUAUCUAUCUUGGCCAGGGGCAUAUGAUUAAAACCUGCAAGGAAGGAUCUCCACAGUAUACAAAGGGUAGGGGGCAAAGAACAAGUGAGUUAGUACAGGAGAGACGCAGUAUGAAGUCAGAGGACAGGGGGCCCUGACUUGGUGCGUGAACCAGGAAAGGAACAGUGCCAGACUCAAAGUUGAUAGGCAGCCGGUGGGUGGAGGUGAGCAGAGCCCCCUCUGCUGGGCUGGUAUUGAGAGGCAGGCUCUGCUGUGUGGAAAGGACAGGGCUGAGCACUGGCCUCUUAGCACCUGGGGUGCUCAGCCAGGUAAACAAGACAGGAGAUCUGGGCUCAGCAACAGAGUAGGGACCAGCUUGGGGUACCAAUAAAAAGAACUAAGACUCAAGGUCAAGGUUGGACAAGGCAACAAGGAUUCUGGAAUGGAGUUGCUUAAACACAGUCUCAGGUCAAGAUCUGACCUAG